GUUAAUUUUGAAAGACCAUACACGCAACAUAACAAAAUUAUUCAGUGUUGAGCUACGAUCAAAAAAAAAUAUAAAGGUAAAAAAACGCAAAGGUUCCUCGACAACAAAGAUUGCAUUUGAUAAAUUUGAGUAUAGUAGUGUAAUUUAUGAUGUAGUUAUGGUCAAAUGGAACAAUCCUGAUCAAUGCU